rnacentral:misc_RNA from 1 species
AACGCACAUUGCGCCCGCCAGCACUCUGGCGGGCAUGCCUGUUCGAGCGUCAUUUCAACCCUCAGGCCCCCCCGGGGGACUGGUGUUGGGGGCCGGCCGCGGCCGCCCCCGAAAUGCAGUGGCGACCCCGCCGCGCCCUCCCCUGCGUAGUAGCACACACCUCGCACCGGAGCGCGGAGACGGUCACGCCGUAAAACGCCCCAAGCCUCAAGAGUUGACCUCGGAUCAGGUAGGAAUACCCGCUGAACUUAA